CCAUGCCUUGGGACCAGGACAGAUCUGUCUU
rnacentral:piRNA from 1 species